rnacentral:rRNA from 1 species
UACGUAGGGGCAAGCGUUGUCCGGAUUUAUUGGGCGUAAAGAGCUUGUAGGCGGUCUGUCGCGUCUGCUGUGAAAAUCCGGGCUCAACCCGGACUUGCAGUUGGAUACGGGCAGGCUGGAGGCAGGUAGGGGAGAACGGAAUUCCCGGUGGUAGCAGUGAAAUGACGUAGAGUAUCGUGAGGAACACCAGAGGCGAAGGCGGACUACCUG